UAUUGACAUCCUAAUUUUAAUAGGUAAUUUUGAGUUGGUUAUAUUUAGUUGGUAUUUGAAAUUUUUUUACCUAAUUGAUAUAUGAAUUUGUAUUCUGUUACAUACUUUUAAAAGUUAAAAUAUAGUUUUGUCCUUCUGAAUUUAUUCAAAAAUAUCUAGUUGAUAUUUAAAUUUGUCCAAAAUUUUAUACUUUUUAAAAGAUUUUUAAUUUUUUUAACUUAUGUUCGCCAUCUGUUAUAUUGAGGAACUACCAUCAGUUCCACGUUAACACAAACUAAGAGUAUUUGUGAGGAGGUACCAAUUUAGAUGAUGAAAUACAAAUUCAAAUACCAACUAAAUAUAAAAAAAAUCAAUACAAACUAAAUAUUUUAGACAAAUUUAAAAGACAAACCACGUAUUAACCUUUAAAUUUAAUUACUAUAGCAAACGCAUUAUGACAUGUAUGUCAUGUAGAGUGUUACCGGUAUGCUUUCUUAUAUGCUUUCUUAAGCAUAAAAUUAAUUAUUUGUAUUUUUUUUUGCUUUAAUUAUUAUUUCAUGUCGAUUGAAUAUUAGUUUGAUUAAUAUCGGUAUUGUUGUCAAUACAAAAAGAUGUAUAUUUGAGUGUACUGAAACGUAUUAUCUUGAAAAAAAUUAUGAGUAAUUCUAGAUAUUAUAUAAAAAAACAAAAACUAAGAAUCGAAAAUAAAAAAAUCUUAUUUUAUUUUUUUGUAUAUUUUAUUAUUUUAUUUAAUGUAUUCUACUUUUAUAUAUUUAUAUAAAUUUUAAAUCAUUUGUAUAUAUUAUUAAUUUAUCAUGUCCAGCUUGGAUUACACUUUUUUAUUAUUUCCUUUUUAUCUUUUUUGUGCUUUAUAGCCCCUCCUCAGCCCCAUCCCCCUAACCAAGAAAGGCAAAAUUCUCAUGCAGUCUCUAAUGAAGCAACAUUUAUCCUUUGGUCAUUUUUAAGGUACUUUACUAUUUUUAAAAGGAAGGUAGGAGAAACAUAUACCUCUUGAUCAUUGUUACUAUUUUUUAAAAUAUUUUAGUUUAUUACUAGCAAUAAUAUGAUUCAUUUUGGAUUUUUGAAUUUUUUUUUGAAAAAAAAACAAACACUACUCCUCGUAGAUGGUAAAGAACAAGCUUCAUCAAUAUAAUAAAGGCUUUAGCCUCAAUAUCAAUAGAACAUUAUGACACGUUGACAAUUGGCUUUGUCACAACUCAAGCACGACAUAUAUGGAGUGAUUGCAAUCACUUAACAUGAUAAUGAAAUCAGCAUCGGAUAGUCUAAAACAGCGAGCAAAAAUCAACAAAAGAAUCGAGCAUUCACCAAACUAUAGAGGACGACAAUAAAACCAUUCCUAAAAUCACUUGUAAAAGUAAGAUUUCAUGCAUAAGCAAAACUAAAAAUCAUGCUACAAGAGCAGAUAAAAACUUCUAAAACUAAAAAUUUAUUAACCAAUGGAAAAACAAUUAAACAAAAAAACAUAUAAAACUCAAGACAACAUGGGGCCAAAUUGACUCGUGAAAUCAUUUAUUAUUCUGAAAUAUUCUCGAAACAUAAACAGAUUAAGAAGAUGUCGAAGAGCCACCCACUUUCCAAGAAAAACUACCGGUGGCCAAUAGAGUUUUAGCAAACGAUAAGUAUUAUCAUCUAUCCAUCACAACUUAUGAAGAAAACAAAGAUAGCUACAAAAUAGAUAUGCAAACUAAAAAAGAGAGAAGACAUGUGGAGUGAAUGUGAAAAAGAAAGAAAGAAAGAGUUAAUGGGAGGGAGAAAAAAGCGAGCGAUAACCAACCUGGAACUGACGUCGCCGCUGGACAAAACCAAAUAUAAGGAGUACGCUUUGAGGAAAAAGAGAAAUUUUUAAGGUUUAAUACAACCUAUUAUGAUUUUUGAAAUAUUUUGAAAUUUUUUGUAAAAAAUAUUACAUUAUUCAGUUUAUUAAUCAUAAUAAUAUAUAGUAGAUCAAAUACAAACCCUUAAAACUAAAAUCAGAAUAUAUUGAUUAAAUUACAAUGUAAGCUUCUACUAGGUAGCCUAUCGAGUGGAUCCUUGGGAACAUUUCCUUUCUAUAUUAUGUCUUUAACUUCUCUGGUUUAUCAGAGAAUAAAAAAAAGGUAUCAAACACCCAGCUUUUCACUUUUUGAUUAUUAUACUAUCUUCACCAUUAUUUUACUUAAAAAACAAGGCACAUGCUUGAAUGAAAUCUAUAAAACCCCUUAAGCUAGAACGGCCAAAUUAGACCAAGAAAAAAGGAAUUCAGCAAUGCCAAGGUUGGCUAAUGGCUAGCUUCUCUUCCAUGUCUCAUUAUGUUUACUUAUACGUUAAUUGUUUUGGUUUGUAUGAAUUUUUAUCCAUAGUUUUCUUUUCACUAUUCUACAGUGGAACCGGCGAUCUAGAAGCUUCCACCCCCACCGAUGAUAAAGGACCGUUGGAAAAUCUGCGAGAAAUUCACCAGAAAGCGUUAGAUGACCUUGUGAACGUGAACUCGCUCUUCACGCUGGCCGUCUUCGUGGGGUUAUCGAUGGCACGUCAAGGCGAGCGUAGCCUCGAGAACCGCACUGAAUGCGACGCGGAUGUGGGGAACGCGAGGCGGCUGGUGGUGAACGAAGUGGUGUCGUUCGCUUGCUUCCUGUUGUCGAGCCUGGUAGCCAAGGCACUUAAAAUCCAUGUCACCAUUUGCCAAGAAGAGGACUUCAAGAAUACCCGUAACCAGAGUGUGAGAUUCUCAAUGCUGAUGUUGUCGGUGUGGGCGUCGGUUUUCGGAUGCAUAUUCCUUACGGUAUCCAUGGUGGAUGUGAUCCAAAUCAAGGUGGGAAAGCUUUCUUGUAGGAGUGUCCAUGCAUGGAGGGCUGCCGGAGCACUGAUUGCCAUUGUGCUCCUUGCGCUUUCUAUUUACGUCCCCUUUAUGAUGACUGCAAUAUUCACUUCCGUCAGGAAUGUUCAAAGAAAAGUAGACAAGAAAUAAUCAUUAACAAUGAUCAUCAUCAUCAUCAUGUUCAAAUAUGCAAUAUUUCUUCUUUGUUUCUUAAAUAAACGUGUGGAACUCGCUUAGGUAAAAGGGUUCAAAUGGAGAGGAUCUAAAGAGUCCAUUUUUUAUAUAAUUGAAGUGUUUUUUUUUUAAUAUUCUUUUCAUUAUAAAUUUAGAGGAACAUUAUGAGCACUGGAAUCAAAAUUUAAUCUAUAAUAUCAAUAAAUAACAUUUUUUAUUUAAUUUAUGAGUUUGUAUUUGAUAUAUUGACUAUAUUUUUUUUACUAUUUGUAAAAUUAUACUAUACCGAGAUUUGUCAACCCAUUUAACCUUAUUGGCAGUGUGCAUGUGUAAUAUUUCAAUUUUCAUACACACUUUCAAUAAAGUGGGUAUUGAGGAAGCUUGGUCAUAUAUUGGUAUAAUGACAUUUUUAGUCCUCUAGCUUUAUAAAAAUAAAUGGUUAAUUUAGUCAUUCAUUUCAUUUUUCGUCUAUUUUAGUCUUAAAUUUAUAUUGUUUGUCAAAUUACCCUAAAAUAGAUGAUAUGUUAAUUUUGCUGAUGUAGCAUACAUGUAGAUUGCCACAUGUAUGUCACGUUAGCAAUUAAUUUUUUUAAAUUAAAUUUUUUAUAUUUUUAUACUUUUUAAAUAAUUCUAUUUUUUAAUAUUUUUAUAAUUUUUUGAAUUUUUAAUUUUUUAAAAAAAUUAAUUAAUUGUUGAAAUCACGUAGAUAUCACGUCACAAAAUUAACAAACAUUAACUUUUCCAACCAUUUAAGGAUGGUUUGAAAAACAACGUAAAUUUAAAGACUAAAAAAAUAAAAAAUAAAUAAAUGAAAGAUCAAAUAAAAUUUUUAAAAGUUAGCUCAUUUCAAUAUAAAUUUUGCAAUCAUUUUCAUCUUCUAUCAAUUUGAUUUCUCCUUCGUACCAAAUAAAAUCAUGCAUGCGCAUCAUUUUAUUUAGAAAAUUAUAAAAAUAAUCAUUCAAUUAUUUUGUUUUCUAUUAUGGUCACUUAAUUAAAUGCUUUAAUCACUUACUUAUUAGUUGGCAUUAGAUGAGAUGGGCUCAUUGGGCCUAUCUCAUUGACUGAAUAUAAUUAUAUGUGUUAUGUAGACUUCUAACUUACACAUUUGAUUUAUCCAACCCAACAACCAAUUUUUUAUUUCCAAAAAUUUGUUUAUUUAACUAAUUAAAAUUUAAUUAAUUUUCAAAUUAAAUUAUUUUCUCAAUCCAAUUCUAAUUUCAUUAAAAUCACGAAGUCUUUACCGUACUAAAAUUGAUACAAAACUAUGAUAACUAAUUAAUUUAACUUUUCCUCAAACUUUAAUUAUUUAAUUACAAUCAAUUAAAUAAUAAUUCAAAAAAAUUAAUUUAUUUUAAUCUCUAAGUUAUCUCUUACUCACAGCGAGAAACUGCAUUCACUAUAGAUAAUGAUACGUUUUAUCUAUUUUUUAAUGUCAUUUUCAUUUAUCAGUUCUAAUGCAAUCUAUAUAAGGUUAUGUUGAACUAACGGAGAGACUGAUUGAACACGUAUAAUUAAGGUUCAAAUAAUUUGUAGUUAAAUUCUAGCUAAAUUUGAAAAAUAUGUCAAUUUUUUUUAGUAAAUAUAAUUUUUAUAUGUGUAAUAUUUAUUUUUCAAUCAAUAUCAAGAGUGUAGUAAAUAUUUUUGUAUAUGUAUUUAAACUAUUUUACAUAUAAACAUAUGAUGUUUCAAAUAAUUAAAAAAAAUAUUUCACAUAUAAAAAUAUUUGAAAUAUCAUACUCACAAUGUAGAUGAAAAAACAAUGUUAUUUGAAAUAUUUUACAUAUUAAAAUAAUAAUUAUAUUCGAAAUAAUUAUUUCAUUUUAUAAUAUUAGAAAUCACCAUACCCACAAUAUACAUGGAGAAAAUAAAUAUUUGACAUAUAAAUAUUAUAUAUAAAGAAAAAUAUAUCAAAAAAAUUAGUUGAUGUUUAUAUUAUAUAUAAAGGGGUUAUUAAUUUCAAAUAUUUUUAAUAUAAUUAUAUAUGUAAAAAAUAUAUUUUUAUUAUAUAAUUACAUAUUUAUUAUUUGAUUUUAUGAAUAAAAGAGUUAUUAAUUAAAAAGAGUGAAUUAAAAAAUUGAAAAAAAUAUAUAUUUAUUAAUUAAAAAAUUGAAACAGUAUGAAAUAAAAAUUACAAAUGUGUUUAGAAAAGGAGAAUUAAACCUAUAUUUCAAGUAGGAAUGAGUAUUCAAUCGAGUCGAGUCGAAUCGAGUAAAAAAAAUUUGAGUUAGUCAAUUUGACGAAUCUUAUUUUAACAACCUAACUCGAUUUGAUUUUUUUCGAAUCAAGUCAAAAAAAUUCAAGUCAAGUCAAGUUGAGUUAACGAAUCUUAUUAUUUAUACUCAAUGUUGCGUUUACAUGUACUGAUUAUUUAAUUAGUAGACGAAGUAUAAAAUUAUUUAACUACAUAAAUAAUAUAAUGAUUUUACCUUUUUAACUUAAUGGGUAAACAUUUAUCAAAACGACGUAGUUUUGGCUUUUCUUAUUCGGAUUUUGGAUAACUCGAAUUGUGUAAUUCAUAUUUGAGUUAAACAGAAAAAUUUAUUUUUUUAUUCGAGUUGAUUCGAAUAACUUGAUUAACUCAAAUAACUCGAACUAUUUAAUUCUAAAUUUAAUUUUUUUAUCAAAUUUUUCAAAUCGAAUUGAAUUUUACACAUCCCUAAUCUCAAUGAUGAAAUCAUUAUUAUUUAAUCAUUUAAAUAAGGAAGCUUAUAUGUUAAAAAUCUUAAUUAAAAGAAGAAGAAGAAGAAGAAGAAGAAACAUCUUUAAACAACAUGAAAUAAAAAAUAUAAAUAUGAGUGAAAAUUGAACUUGGGACUUAAUGACAAAAUUACUAACACUUAACCCUUCGACCAAAGAAAUUAAUUAUAUUAAAAAAAAUUGCAACUUAAAGGGAGAGAGUGCCCAGCUAGGUGCGUUUUCCUGCCAACUAUGCAAAAAGCACACCUAGCUAAAUACACUUUCACACUCUCUCUUCAAAAACGACUUAUUUCCCUAAAUAAAAUUAAAAAGAUCUAAAGGUCUAAUUAAAAAAAAAUUGACAUAUAAACCUUAUUUACCCUUAAGUUCCAACUUUUCAAUUAUUAAUUAUAAUAUUAUUUAAUUAUUGAGUCAAUCUACUAAAAACAUCAUGACUGAACUAUCUCUAUAUAUAUCAUUACGAAACAAAUUUAACGUAACUUUGGAUGGACGAUGCAUUUAUCUACAGUUAGUGUAAAAACAGUAAUCAUAGUAAAAUUAAAUAUUAUAACAAUACUAUAAUAUAAAACAAAAAAAUAAAUUAAAUACACCAUCCAUCCAAUCCGAACAUUAAUCAGCAGCCUCCAAUUAUUUUAUAAUAUGAGCAUCACUAUCUUCUGCUAUGUAUUAUAUCUUUAUUCUAUGAAAAAUAAAUUACUAACGCAUAGUAAUCGAACGGUUGACAAUCCAUCAUCUUCAAAUCGAGCCGGGCCUUAGUAUUCCUUUUCGCCUUUCGGCUGCAUCGGAUCAGAGAAUCAAUCGCGACUUUCAAAUUAUCUUUGGAUGUCUCUCGGAUCAGAAGAAACUCUUCAUUCAGUAAGUUUUUCCCUCUAAAAUUUCAACGCUGCGAUUCUUAUUUAUUUAUAAUCUUCACUUAAAAUAACCCACCUAGAUUGCCUCCAAUAAUUCACUCUAAUCUUCCUCUAACACACCCAUCUCUUCUCGGAGUGAGGAAAUAGGCGUACUUCAUAGGUAAUUUUUAUGGGUUAUCUUUCUUUGAGGUUACGAAUUUUAGGGUUUUUCUUGACAGAAACUAUUGGGAAACAAAUGCUUAAUUUUGGAGUAUUCGGGGUAUGCAAAAUUUAAUGACGGUUUUUUUUUUCUUUUAAGGAAAAUAAAAUUGUAAUUGUUGGUGUGAUUUAGGAGUAUCUGUCCAAUGAAUAUAGUUAAGUUGGAUUGUUCUGCCUAAAUACCCUACCCAAUCUGUUUUGUUGUAGUUGGAUGGUGGAAGGAAGGAAGAAAGCCCUGUAGAAAAAUGAAGGAAAGGGUUUUGUAAAUGAUUAUGGUGAUAUUGAUUUUGCAAUGAAGAUUGGCUAACUAAUUUUAUGGAAUUUAGUUACCUAUUGAUGCUGCAUUUGUUGUGCUCAGUUCUGGUUUUUAUGAAUAUACCAUUUUGGUGAAGGUAUUGUUUGAUGUCCCUAUACGAGCUGCGUUUCAUAUUCUGUUAUUCAGGUCCUCACUCAGUCCUCUAGACAAAGGAAUAGACUGAAUUCUACGGUUACCUCAGUUAAUCAUAUGUCUCUUUGUUGUUACUGUUUCCAAGUCUUGGUUGAAGAACUGUCUAAAUAAUGGCAUUCCAAAUAACGGUAUUGUUGUCAUCAUCCUAUACUUUUAAUUUGACACUUUCAUCUAAGGAAUUGGGUUUUAAGCAUCCUCCUUAGCUUAAUUAGUUUAUUUCCUUUUCUUAGUCAUAGCUGAAACCAAAACAGUAGGAUCUUGAGCAUUUCCUUGUUUCUUUCUUUAAUGUCCAUCGGUAAGUUAUAUCUUUUGUAUGUUUGUGUAAAUUAUCACUUUCACUUGAUUCUAGAAUUUUCUUGUUGAGUCCUUUACAUCUUUGAAUUUGAACCCAUUCCUACUAGUGGUCACUGAAUUAACGUGCAUAUCUUGUGGUUCAUCUGACCACUUGAAAAGUUUUGAGAACUGUUUCUGACGUGUCAUAUGAUUUGUUGCUAGCAAAUUAUUAUAAAAAUUAUGAUUUGCAUAGCAUGAAAAGGCACCAUACUAUUAUUUUCCUUUUUAAAUUAUAUAAACUUGUCAUUUUGCUUGAUGUUAAAAACGAGGUUAGAAGGUCUGAUUCUUUUCUUUUCCUUUUUUGGUAAUAGUGGGAUUUGGACAAAGAAGGUGGGAAAGCAGACAGCUCAGUUGAAGAAAAAACAGCUGAACCAGAAGGAAGCGAAAUCCUAGAACCGUAUGUGGGUAUGGAAUUUGAAUCUGAAGAUGAUGCUAAGAAAUUCUACAUAGAGUAUGCCAGACGGAUAGGAUUUGUGGUGCGAAUUAUGCAGCGUCGUCGUUCGGGGAUUGAUGGAAGAACACUUGCUCGUCGUCUAGGAUGCAACAAACAGGGUUUCUCUCCUAAUCAUAAGGGCACACUAGGACAAGAGAAAAAGCCACGUCCUAGUUCACGAGAAGGUUGCAAGGCAACUAUUUUGGUUAAGAUGGAAAAGACUGGAAAAUGGGUUGUUACAAGAUUUGAAAAGGAGCAUAAUCAUCCCCUUAUGAUCACAACCAAUGGAUUCAAUACCACGGUGAGGUUCUAUAAAGUUCUAUAUAAGAAAAAUACUUCUAAUUGUUUUAUAUUAUAUAUUAUAUUAGUCUCUCAUUCCCAAUAAACUUGUCGCGUUUUGACUUUUAGUCAUCAAUUUUUAGAACUUUGAUAAAAAAAUAUAGUUAAAAAACUUUUUAGUGAUUUUUAAAUAUCGUUAAUUAAAAUAUUAAAAAUAAUAAGUCAAUGUUAAAAAAAGUUUGACCACCCAAAAAAGUCAAUUAUGACAACUUAAUUUGGACUAAGAUAAAAGGAGUAUAUAUAUAUAUCAAAUAGAGUUUAAAUGUCUUGAACUUUGUUUUUGAAUCUUAUACUUGAGAUCAUUGACUCUUCCUUUAUUUUUGUUGUUUUUACUUUCUUUGCGCAUUAAGUAGAAUGUUCCUAUUUCUGGUUUUCAUGUUUUUGGCUUGGUGCUAAUUGUUUGGCAUGGACAAUUUCAGCUUUAUUAUAUAGAGGGCAGAUAUUUUUAGAUAAUUUAAAAUUAUAGAAUAUGCUGUGGGGUGGGUGAAAUUUUCCCUCAUUGAGAUUAAUGGCUGUGAUUGAAUUUUUUCGGUGACCAAUUAUUUUCUAGAAUUGAACAUAAUUCCUGCGUAAAGCUUGUUUUAUAAUAUAUGAAGUAUCAAUUCUGCGGGCCCCAUUGGUUAAAGCUGGGGAUAGAUGAUAAUUUUGGUGUUACAACUUCUGCUUUUGUUCCUUUGAAUUGGUCAUCACUGAAAAUGCCCCUGGAAGCUUUCUAAUUUAUAGAUGUGUAUAAAUGAAAAUAAAUUCUCCUAUGUAUUGGACUAGGAUAUUUGAUGUCAUGCAAUACGCUGCUUCUUGUUGAACUAGCUUCAGGAAGAGUAUAAGUGCGCUGAGUGUAUCAUUAACACGCUUUCUGCAGAGUCACAUUAUAAGCUUUCUUUGGGAACUUAGGUGUUCUUCUCUGAUAAGGUGAAGGAUGAUUCUUUGAUUGUAAGAGUAGGGACCUUUUCUUUUCUUCUCUUGUUAGCCGAAUGUAAUUAUUUGCUUGUGGUUGUUAAAUAUCUAUAUACUUGCAUAACAGUAUAACAUUCCUCCGUUAUUCACUGCUGCUGCUGGCAAUGAUUGGCUUUUUUUUUGAGUUUUUAGGGUGAUAAGGACAAGAAAAUUGAAGAACUCACGAUGGAGUUAGCGCAUCAAGAGCAAUUAUGUUCAGCUUAUCGAGAAAAGUUGUUUGCGUUCAUUAACAACGUUGAGAAGCAAACAGAAGAACUAUCUUCAAAGAUUGAAGUUAUAGUAGACAAUGUUAGGAAACUCGAAGCUCAAAGGCAGAGAUUUACGCACCGUAGCGCAGGUAGCCUUGGUAUUUAACUUGACCAAUUAAUGCUAUGAUUAGAUUUGUAUAUUUGGUUUCUUGGAAGCUUUUAAUCAUGUACAAAAUUCUUUAGGAUCAUUUUGUUUUAGUCAAGAUGCUUAACAUUUGACAUUGUGCAAUCAAACUAAAAAGCAUCUUGUUAGAUGAAAUUGGAGCUUCAUGAUUCUCUUGUGGAUUGAUUUUGCUAGUAAAAAGGUGGAAAAUAGAAAUAGUUUUGUAAUUUUGAACAAUUUAGUUGUAUGAUUAGAAAUUAGAUACAUUAAUGUCAAACCAACAUCUCUUAAUAUUUUCUAUGCGUACAUAUAUGCACACAGACAUAUAUAUAUAUAUGUAUUUUGACUAUUAACUUGAACUUAAGGCAGCAAAGCUACCACCUUUCAUCAUCUGCUGGAACUCCUCGAAAUUAACCCUACCAUCUCCAUCUGCAUCUACUUUUGUUAUCAUAUUCUUGCAAUCCUCAAUAGUUCUUCCCUGCUUCAACCCUAAUGAUGAUAGAACCGACCUCAACUCCUCAAAUGUGAUGAAUCCAUCUCCGUUUUGAUCGAAGACAUUAAAUGCUUCCAUCAUUUCUUCUUCUUCGUUCCUCUCAUUCACCAUCAUUUGAUACAAUUCACCAAAUUCAUCGAUAUCUACAGAACCAUCUCCGUUCACAUCAAUGUUAUCAAUGAUUUGGUUUAUUUCUUUAUCGGAAAGAAAAAUACUGAACUCCUCGAGUGAAUCGCUAAGCUCUUUCUUUGUGAUCUUGCCAUCUCCAUUCUUAUCAAACAUUUGGAACACCUUGCGAAGCUCAACUAGAUCCAUUUCUUUUAUCAAACAAAACUAAACCCAAACCAAAAUACACCACCUUAGAGCAAAAAUGAUAAGAGAGAUGAAAAUUGGACUAUUGAGAGAGAUGGGAAAGGUAAUUAACAAGGAAAAUCAAUGGAGAAUUAGUGUUGAUUGUUGUUUACAAUUGUGAAGAAAGAAGAGAGGGAUAUAAAGGAUGCACACUAAAACAAGCCUAACGAAAUCAGUUGUUAAUAAAUAACAAGGUGAGAGGUUUUCCUUUUGUGGAUGUGAAAAGCUUUUUAAGUUAAAAAAAAAAGUGAUAGAAUUGGGCUAAAAUUAGGCAUCUGUUCGGUCAUUUUAGAUUAGUUCAAGAAUUGGACCGUUAAUAAAUGGAGGCAAAAAUGCUGAACACUUGGAGACUUGCCAUGAUGUCAUUGCCAACCAAGGUAACAUUGAAUGGAUUGAGGUUCUACUUACACAUAAUGUUUUCAAUCACCUUACUUAAAAUCUAUAUACUUCAUUGAGUUAUAUUAAUAAUCUUUUUAUUUAAAUAAUGGUAAAAAUAUAGAUUUAAACCCACACCAAUUAGGUUGAUAAAAUCUUAAAACUUACCAUUUAACCAAAAUUUCAUUUUAAUAUAUUUUAUAAAUUUUUAUUUUAAUAUACAUAAUUUACUAUCACCAUUAAUUGUAUAUAUUAAUAAUAUUAUUUAUUAAGUUAAUGUCACAUAUCAACUUGACACUAACUCACAAUUAAUGAUAACAUCACAAUAAAUAAUUGUAAUAUAUUUAGUACUGUUAUUUUAUUUUAUUCACAAAUUAAUCUAAAUAUUAUACAUUAAUUAAUUUCAAUAUUUCUAGAAUGAAUUAAAUAUUUUAUUCAAAUCCGAUUCAAAUUAAAUUGAUUUUAUUCUAGCUUUGUGUAAUACAUCCUUUUACCUUACUUUUUAACCUCUUUUUUUUUUUUUUUUACAAUUAGUUUAAUUUAAGAACAAUCAUAUUUAAAAUAUCUAUUACAACAUUUUUUUCUUGAAAACAAAAAUAUUAAUUAAAACUGAAAAGAGAAUAAUUAAUAUUAACAAAAAAAAAUAAAAAUACAUCAUAUUCAUCCAUCAUUUUUUGCUAGUUCUAUUUAAUUUAGAGAUCAGAAAGCGGAAAAAGAAAAAGAGCAGAUUGUUAGCAAUAUGAUUUCCAGUUCUCACCCAUUUAAUUUCACCAAUUGAAUUUGACCAUAAUCGGUUCUAAUGUAAAUUAGUAUAAAAACAUAACAACAAAAUUAGAUACUUAAGUAGCAACACUGUAAUGUAAACACACCACCCCAAGCACCCAUCCAAAUCCGCCCUAAAUCCCAUUCCUUCUAAUGCUUUGGGUUUUCCAUACAUCAUGUAAAGAUCCAUCUUUAUAUCACAAUUCUUCUGCUGCUUCGUCCCAUGCCUCUUCUCUUCUACCCAAUGUUUUAAUUUCAAUUUGAUUAUUACCUUGUCUGGAUAUUUCCGGAGUACUGUUUACAAUCCAUAUUGAUAAGGAAAGAGCCCCAAAUUACGGCACUUUGAACAACCCAUCGCUAUCCUUCCAACCCAAAAUUUCUAUGACCCGAUCAGACGUAGCUAACAAACAAUGAUACUGCUAAUCUAAAAUAAAGAUUCAAAUCUAGAGUCUAUUAGAAAAACAAGUUUUUAUGGUGUAUAUGAACUAAAUCGUGCUCAUCAAGGGUACUUGAUUCUCAUAAUUUACACGCUAUUAUGUUACAGGUUAUGAACAAUCACGCUUACCAGAUCUCACUACUAGGCUUUUAGAAAUGAAAACAGCUGUUCAUGUUUAAAUAACGCAAGGGAAAAAGAGAGAGAAAUGUAUUCCAACCAUGUGCCCAAUAAGAUCAGUUAAAAAGGGAUCAAAUUGGGCGAGUAAGUCGGAAAUCAAAUGGAAUUUGAUGAUAUAGCAAACGAAGAAAUUGCCUCAAAAUAAAUUCGUCUUUACGACGGUUUUGGGACAGAGUGCGUUUGCAUUGAUUUUUUUUCUCCAUUUUUGAAAAAAAUAUAAAGGUGAAUAUACCAGUAGUAAAAGGGCCUGAAAAAUCAGGGAAAAUAUAUCAGAUUCAGGCGAGUGAUACUGGCUGAGAAUUUAGAUAUCGCAAGAAAUUUCAAUUAUUUGAUUGAGUGGGUCGCUUCCAUCUACACCCAAUCAAGAAGCUGACUUGCUUUAUCAUUCCUUCAAUAUGAAAACACACGCACACACAAACAAAACGGCAAAGGGAGGGACGCUACCGAGAACAGGAUGAAAGAUGAGGAGGUAGGAUGCUAUAUAUAAGGAAUUGAAAAUUAGGGCUAGGGUUCAAAUUUUAUUCAUGAGGUUUUGGUGGUCGGAGUUUUCUUGAAAUAACCAGAGGCCCAAAUUUCCUAAUUUAGUUUAGAUUGAAAAGGCUGGCCCAAGUAAAAUGGCCUUUUGCAUUAAUUUGGGCCACUACCAAAUUUUGUUUGAAUAUAUAUUAUUAAUGUGUUUUUUCAUUUGGCCCAAAUUUCUUAAUUUAGUCAUCAAUGUUUGCAUUUUUCAUUAAUUUGGUUAUUAUUCUUUUUUUGAGUUAAAUUUAAUCUUUAAAUUUUCUAAAAAGAGUCAAAUCAUUUUUUAAUGAAAAUGUUAACUAAAAUAUUAAUUUUUAACGUUUGAUAACUCCUAUGACAGUCCAUAUAUGCAUCAUACUAACAUAACAGUAUUUGUUUUAGAUGUCACGUCAAUAAAUAAUUCAAAAUUUAUAAAAUACAUCAAAAUUAAAAUUUAAAAAGCCGAUUAAAUCUUGACUUAAUUGGUAUGAAAAUUGUUGCUAAUACAAUAGGACGUGAGUUUAAAUGCGCUGAAACGCAUUAUCCUCCUAUUUAUGAGUUAAGAAGGAGAUAUGAGUAGCUCUAAACAUUAUGUCAAAAAGAGUAGAUAUGAUCAAAACUUACGAUGAGGUGGUUCAAAAAAAUUUUAAAAUAUAAAUUUUUAAAAAAUUAGCAUAAAUUACAGUGUCAUGCAAACUAUCGUAUUUAAAAAGUUAACAUUUUAAUUAAUUUUCUCAUUUAAAAAAACCUUGAUUUUGACUCUUCUUCAAAGAUUGAGUACCAAAUUUAGCUUUAAAAAAAAAGAAUAAAAACAAAAAUAUAAACAUUGACAUUAUAAGGUAUGAAAAUUUUGUUGGGCUAAAAAAUAUAUUUACAGAUUUAUAAGUCAUAGUUUUGAAGUAAUAUUUUUGAGCUAUCAACGGUCUACCAUUGGUCCCUCCAUACUAUUAAUAUAAAUGAUUAAACAUACCAUGAGAACAUUAGCCAUUUGCACCACAGGAAAUUCAUGAGGUGAAUAUGUCAUGCAACAAAUGAUCUAUAUGACAAAUAAAAUUACUAUUGAGAUGACAAAGCAAGGUUCUCAUGUAGCAUAAGUGGUUUUGAACAAUAUGACUACGUAAAAAAGCUUUGUAGAAGCAAAGUGAGCAUCAGCAGUACAUACUUUUGCAGCUAAACAAGCAGGUGUAUGCCAUUUCGCAAAUCAAUUAAACAUUCUCCUUUCUUUUUAAUUUCUCAAAAAUGCUAGAGGCACCAUCCAAAAUCUUACAACCAAGCUAAACAAGCAGGUGUAAUGCCAUUUCGCAAACCAAACUAGUGCAAAGACACAAGUCCUCCUCCACUACACUCUCAGACAGCUACAUUGUUGAGUGAGGGACAUCCAAGCCAUUUUACCUGACAAAAAACAUUUCCUUUUUCCUCCACCAUUCUCAUCUAGUAGAACAUUAAACCAUAUCUUGGUCUUGGAGUUCACAUGCUAGAAUUGAAACAACAUUAAUAAUUAUGGCCUUCAUAUCUAUAAUAUAAAACAUGUUGAGAUCUACUUUGGGAAAAAAUCUGGAGUAUCUUGAGAUAUAUACAUUGAAAACCAUCAAGUAAGCUGCGUACAUAGAACCUAAUGGAACUCAAAGGAGUUCCAAUCAAAUGCACCCCUAACCAGUUAAGAGUAAAAAGGAUUCCAUUUUUACUGGGAAAUAGUAAUUCAUAUUAGUAUUAGCAGUACAAAUCCUGAAUCACAUUCUUCUCAUCUUAUUCUUUCAUUUAUCAUAAGCCAAAUCUUUCAACUUCAAACAUAACUGAAGAAAAAGCACUGACUGAUACAGAAAAACUAAAAGUUCCCAAACUCUCAAACCCUUUAGUGGAAAUAAAAUGCAUCUAAAAGCUGGCCUUUAGCUUGGAAUGCACAAGUAAUUCAACUUAUGGAUAUUUUAGCUGAACUUCUUUUGUUUGUAACCUAUAAUAUUUCAAACCAUCAGAUAUUUUAGCUCUGCUCUGUACUCUUGAGACAUAAGCUAAGCUAAUCUUGAAGGGGAUUAUUGGAGAUAAACUAUCAGGUGAACUAUUUGAGGCAGUAGGUUUUCUCGUGUUACUAAGAUAUCCAAUACCCCAUCAUGUGAAACGAAAAUGCAAUUUCUGACAUGGUCAUGGACUAGCCAGAGAAGUGUAAGCAGUCUGAUGCUGUACUUAUCCAAUUUAUUCCAUGCAUGGAGUCACCAAACAAAAACACUUCUUUUCUCAUAAAAAUUAGACCAUGUUAAACCAUAUGUAUAACCUAUAAUCAUUUGCAAUUUAACUGGGCUCUGAGGAAGUAAGUGAUCAAACCUUUAGAAGUAAUGAACCAAAAGUUUCCAUCAAACAUCUUUGUUACCUCAAAUUAACAAAACCAAANNNNNNNNNNNNNNNNNNNNNNNNNNNNNNNNNNNNNNNNNNNNNNNNNNNNNNNNNNNNNNNNNNNNNNNNNNNNNNNNNNNNNNNNNNNNNNNNNNNNNNNNNNNNNNNNNNNNNNNNNNNNNNNNNNNNNNNNNNNNNNNNNNNNNNNNNNNNNNNNNNNNNNNNNNNNNNNNNNNNNNNNNNNNNNNNNNNNNNNNNNNNNNNNNNNNNNNNNNNNNNNNNNNNNNNNNNNNNNNNNNNNNNNNNNNNNNNNNNNNNNNNNNNNNNNNNNNNNNNNNNNNNNNNNNNNNNNNNNNNNNNNNNNNNNNNNNNNNNNNNNNNNNNNNNNNNNNNNNNNNNNNNNNNNNNNNNNNNNNNNNNNNNNNNNNNNNNNNNNNNNNNNNNNNNNNNNNNNNNNNNNNNNNNNNNNNNNNNNNNNNNNNNNNNNNNNNNNNNNNNNNNNNNNNNNNNNNNNNNNNNNNNNNNNNNNNNNNNNNNNNNNNNNNNNNNNNNNNNNNACCUUGGUUAGUUUACAUUAUGGAAGAUAAAAUGGAUAUGGGAGCAUUUGGUCGGCGGUUUCAGGUGAUAAAUUCUAUGGAAUUUAAUUCAUAUGUUAAAAUUUUCAUUUGUAAUAUGAAUAUAAGCAUGGUUAUUAAAUUGAGUCUCUUUUUUGUUGUAGAAAAAACAAUUAGAUUGAUGGGAACUCCUUCGUGAAUCAAUCGUGAUAUGAAAUUCAAUAAUAAACAUUUCUUGCUUCAUUUCCCUUAUUUCUUGCUUGGUAAACAAUUGAGUGGCUUUAUAUGCUUGAAUGUUGCGUUUCAGUUGUUUUGUUGAUUAUUCUUUAAUCUUGAGUUUUCCCUGUUCCAUAUCAAAUAUUGGUGUAGUAUGAGUUCUUUAAUCUAUAUGUUCAGGUCUAAACCUUGACAGCAUCUAUUCUCAUUGUCAUAAUUCAAACUGGGGUUUGUGACCUUGUGUAUAUCAUGGUCAUUGGAUGGGGGUGUAUUUCUCCCUAAGAUUUUGAACUGGCAGUCUUGUUCCGAAGAAAAAAAAGGUUGAUUUUACCUUUUCUCCCCUUCUAUUUUCUCUGACUUUGGGAGGGUUGUUAAAGCCUUGCUCAAUUAGUGAACUUUUGGGUAUCUACCUGAUGUGUGGUAGCCAUAUGCUUAUUUUCUGGGCAUGCAAUGAAGUAGUGAGAGGCUUUCUAAAAGAUUUUGCUUUAGCAUCUAAGUUAUUCGAUUUUGUAUUGGCUAAAUUCAGAAUUUGAGAAUCACUGUGUUCAUGGUAUACUCUAUUGUAGCAUUUUGCAUCAGCAUAUAGAUUGUCAUAUUAGGUAUUUGAUGUGUAACUGAUCUUGCAAGUGAUCAUAACUUUCCCUUGAACAACUUGGUACUGGAAUGUUGAAGAAGAAAUUGGAUGUACCUUGUCUUUUAAGCUGUGAAGAUUGGAAUGUUUAAAUUGGGCGAAACUGCUAUAAACCAGUGUAAAAUUUCGGUCUACUUUCCUUGAUUUUCUCUAUGUAAAAUUUGCAGUGUGUCUAUAUCGGCUGCAUCAGAUGGGUUUUAAUUUGCUAACAGACUACCGUUAAAUAUGUCUAGUAAGUUGAAUUUUGUCCCUAAUGUGCGCAACUUCUAUCAUGGACACUGUCUUUUGCAUGUUAGAUGUAGAUUCCUCCUUUGCUGUCAUUUGGAACACUUCGGUUUCAUUUUUCUGAUGGGAUUGUAGUUAAAAAGUUUGUUUCUUAAAAUUAUAAUCUCUCAGGUAACCAUGCAAUUUCUUUUUCCGUUAUUUGGUCCUGCAAGGUAUUGGUGCUGAUAUGUUCAAAUGUUUAGCAGUUAGAUGCUGGUUAUGAAAGAAUGGAAACUUUUUAUAUAGGCAUACUAUGAACUACUAAAACCUUUAUAUCAAAGUUGUGAUUUUCAAACCUUACCAACUUAGUACAGUCUGCAAAACAAUUCUUUAUUUAGUUUAGAAAGACAUGAAAUUAUUGAAAUGUUGGCAAUGGAGAAGAUUGAAUUUGGGUAGAAGAAUGAUGGGACGACAGGCCAGCUUGGCCUUGGCGGGGGUUGAGUUUAUACUAUACUACUAUAUGGCAUGUGAUGUGAUCAUUGAUCACAGUUCACAUGCCAUGCUACCAUGUUUUAGGAGGCAUUUUGUUCGUAUAUUGAUUUCCCCAUCGUGUUUGUGUUUGUAUAUCUUCAACCUACAUCUGUACUUAAGUAUCGGAUUUAUGAAAGGAUAAUAUAGAAUUAAUUUUGAUGAUUAUAUAUAUGUUUUUGGCAUUUUUUUUAAUAGUAAUAUCUACCAGUGAUAUUUCAGUCUGUGGAUCUUGACUUUCGAGUGGUUUUAUUUGUUUGUUUUCCAAAAAAAAAAAAGGAAGUCGGUUUGGAAGAUGUGAUACUUCAUUAUUUCACUUGAAUUAUUGCUAAAAUAUCUGGUAUCAAUCACCCCAUCUCUGCGUGUGUGUCUGUCUGUCUCUCUCACCAUGGGUGCCCCAUGGAGGUACUUAGGCUUGUUGCGGUUGCUCCCAUUUGAUUAACUUAGGCUUAGUAUUGCUUUUUUAUAGUGCUUUUGAGGUUAAAAGCACUUCUUGCUUUUCAAGCAAGUAAUGCUAAACAAACAAUUUUUGGGGUCAAAAAGACUAAAUGACAGUUUUAUCCCUUUUAAUAUAUUUUAUAUAGUAUUUAUAUUUUGUAUGUAAUUAUUU
rnacentral:lncRNA from 1 species